rnacentral:rRNA from 1 species
UUGGAGGGCAAGUCUGGUGCCAGCAGCCGCGGUAAUUCCAGCUCCAAUAGCGUAUAUUAAAGUUGUUGCAGUUAAAAAGCUCGUAGUUGAAUUUUGGGAUUAGUACGUUGGUCGUGCCUUAGGUACGUACUGGUGUUACUGGUUUCUACCUUCUGACGAACCAUCAUGUCAUUAAUUUGGUGUGGUGGGGAAUCAGGACUGUUACUUUGAAAAAAUUAGAGUGUUUAAAGCAGGCUCGCGCUUGAAUACAUUAGCAUGGAAUAAUGAAAUAGGACGUUGAUCCUAUUUUGUUGGUUUCUAGGAUUGACGUAAUGAUUAAUAGGGAUAGUUGGGGGCAUUAGUAUUCAAUUGUCAGAGGUGAAAUUCUUGGAUUUAUUGAAGACUAACUACUGCGAAAGCAUUUGCCAAGGAUGUUUUCAUUAAUCAAGAACGAAAGUUAGGGAAUCGAAGACGAUCAGAUACCGUCGUAGUCUUAACCAUAAACUAUGCCGACUAGGGAUCGGAUGAUAUUAAUUUUUUAAUGACUCAUUCGGCACCUUACGGGAAAC